rnacentral:lncRNA from 1 species
CUCCUCCAAGGAACAUUAGCAACUCUCGCAUUUGUCACCUUAUGUCAUUUUGCGUAAUUUUGAAAUGCUUUUAAAAAUAAAUUGAGUCCUGUUUUUCUAUGAAGUUAUCUGGAAGAAAGAGUUAUAAUGAAUGGAGAGAAAAGAAUGGUGAAUAUUACAUUGUAAGAAGACCUAUCCGGAUUGGAAUUCAUACCCAGCUCUUUGGGGUGAAGUGAGGCACCAAAAUGACUAGUCCUAACGCAAUGAAGGGAGAAAAUGUAGACUCAUUUGGUCUAUAAAUCAUC